UUUAAAACCACAUCUGCCAUUAGUAGACAAUUUUAGUGGCCUUUUCUCAAUCAGGAUGUUGAAUCAUAUAGGAAGGCUUGUGUCAUCUGUACUGUGUCUGAAGGGCCUUUUGCAACCUCUUCCUGUGCCAGGGAUAGCAUGGUCACAUCUGGUUAUCGAUUUUAUAGUCGAUUUACGUCCUUCAAAUGCUCAUAGUACCAUAUCACUGUUGUAGACAAUUUCUCUAAGAUGGUACACUUGAUUCCUCUCUUUAAGUUGGCCACAUCUGAUGCUUUGGCCAAGGUCUUUAUUAAAGAGGUUUACAGAUUCCAUGGUUUUCCUUCUGAAAGAGUGUCUGAUAGAGGUACUCAG